UUGCUUCAACAGCAGAAAUACUAAAAUUGGAACAAUACAGAGAUUAGCAUGGCCCCUGCACAAAGAUGACACACAAAUUCAUGAAGCAUUCCAUAUUUUU
ensembl:snRNA U6 U6 spliceosomal RNA